UAGUUUUGAAAUGUGUAUAGA
ensembl:piRNA 21ur-4229 ncRNA